rnacentral:lncRNA from 13 species
GAAGAAUACAAGAACUUAAGAGUAUCUUAGUUUUUCCUGGGUUGACUAAUUCCUUUGGCAACGGGAAUGAGCAAAGGAAAAAGUCUGCCCUCGCCAAGCUGACAUUUGUGUGUGUGCGUGACAGACAGCAAAUCACGAAUAAACACGGUAUCUUCCAAGCUGCAGAGGUAGACGGUACUAUGAAGGAAGUACAGGGAAGGAUGUGAGAGACCUCGCGGUGUCGCUGGGAGCAUUCUGAGACGGCUGGAGUGCAGUGGCAUGAUCCCGACUCACUGCAACGUCUGCCUCCCAGUUCAAGCAAUUCUCCUGCCUCAGCCUCCUGAGUAGCUGGGAUUACAGGUAAGUACCACCAUGCCAGGUUGAUUUUUGUAUUGUUAGUAGAGACAGGG